rnacentral:lncRNA from 1 species
UUGGUUGUGGCUAUUGUGGGAAUCCCCCUAAGACACAUAAGCCAAGCAAGAAACCCAAGUCACCAGUUACACCCAUUGUGAAACCACCACACAUAGUUCCUCCAAUUACUGUCCCUCCCAUUGUGAAACCUCCAAAAGUUCUUCCCCCUAUCAUUGUGAAACCUCCAAAAGUUCUUCCUCCUAUCAUUGGUAAACCACCAGUUACAGUUCCACCAGUUACAGUCCCUCCUAUUUUGAAGCCACCAGUUACUUUACCCGUUCCAAUUCCUCCAGUUACAGUCCCUCCCGUUGUGAAACCACCAGUAACAUUACCUGUUCCAAUUCCACCAGUUACAGUCCCUCCUGUUUUGAAGCCUCCAGUAACUUUACCUGUCCCAAUCCCACCGGUUACAGUUCCACCAGUUACAGUUCCUCCAGUUACAGUUCCUCCAGUUACAGUUCCA